UUCUGCUUCUGCUGGCGC
rnacentral:misc_RNA from 1 species